rnacentral:misc_RNA from 1 species
GCUCAAUACAAAAAAUUAUUUUAAAAUUUUAUUUUAUUAUAUUUAUAGUAAUUUUUCGAUUAAUUUUACACAUUAAUUCACUCCAGGACAAGUCUAUGCUUGUUCCAUCAAGAAACAAUCAUUUCAUUUUUCUUGGACAUAUUUUCCUGACUUCUCCUUGCGAGCUUGAACGGUAGAACUAUGCAUUUGCGACCCUCUUAUGUGCUUGCUUGUUG